GAUGAACGCUGGCGGCGUGCCUAAUACAUGCAAGUCGAGCGAACAGACGAGGAGCUUGCUCCUCUGACGUUAGCGGCGGACGUGUGAGUAACACGUGGAUAACCUACCUAUAAGACUGGGAUAACUUCGGGAAACCGGAGCUAAUACCGGAUAAUAUAUUGAACCGCAUGGUUCAAUAGUGAAAGACGGUUUUGCUGUCACUUAUAGAUGGAUCCGCGCCGCAUUAGCUAGUAGGUAAGGUAACGGCUUACCAAGGCGACGAUGCGUAGCCGACCUGAGAGGGUGAUCGGCCACACUGGAACUGAGACACGGUCCAGACUCCUACGGGAGGCAGCAGUAGGGAAUCUGCCGCAAUGGGCGAAAGCCUGACGGAGCAACGCCGCGUGAGUGAUGAAGGUCUUCGGAUCGUAAAACUCUGUUAUUAGGGAAGAACAGAUGUGUAAGUAAAUAUGCACGUCUUGACGGUACCUAAUCAGAAAGCCACGGCUAACUACGUG
rnacentral:rRNA from 1 species